rnacentral:rRNA from 1 species
GAUGAACGCUGGCGGCGUGCCUAAUACAUGCAAGUCGAGCGAACGGACGAGAAGCUUGCUUUUCUGAUGUUAGCGGCGGACGGGUGAGUAACACGUGGAUAACCUACCUAUAAGACUGGGAUAACUUCGGGAAACCGGAGCUAAUACCGGAUAAUAUUUUGAACCGCAUGGUUCAAAAGUGAAAGACGGUCUUGCUGUCACUUAUAGAUGGAUCCGCGCUGCAUUAGCUAGUUGGUAAGGUAACGGCUUACCAAGGCAACGAUGCAUAGCCGACCUGAGAGGGUGAUCGGCCACACUGGAACUGAGACACGGUCCAGACUCCUACGGGAGGCAGCAGUAGGGAAUCUUCCGCAAUGAGCGAAAGCCUGACGGAGCAACGCCGCGUGAGUGAUGAAGGUCUUCGGAUCGUAAAACUCUGUUAUUAGAGAAGAACAUAUGUGUAAGUAACUGUGCACAUCUUGACGGUACCUAAUCAGAAAGACACGGCUAACUACGUG